rnacentral:rRNA from 1 species
CAGUCGCCGCGGGAAUACAGAGGGUGCGAGCGUUAAUCGGAUUUACUGGGCGUAAAGCGUGCGUAGGCGGCUAAUUGAGUCGGAUGUGAAAUCCCCGAGCUUAACUUAGGAAUUGCAUUCGAUACUGGGAAGCUAGAGUAUGGGAGAGGAUGGUAGAAUUCCAGGUGUAGCGGUGAAAUGCGUAGAGAUCUGGAGGAAUACCGAUGGCGAAGGCAGCCAUCUGGCCUAAUACUGACGCUGAGGUACGAAAGCAUGGGGAGCAAACAGGAUUAGAUACCCCGGUAGUCCCUGUCUCUUAUAA